rnacentral:rRNA from 1 species
GAUGAACGCUGGCGGCGUGCCUAAUACAUGCAAGUCGAGCGAACAGAUGAGAAGCUUGCUCCUCUGACGUUAGCGGCGGACGGGUGAGUAACACGUGGAUAACCUACCUAUAAGACUGGGAUAACUUCGGGAAACCGGAGCUAAUACCGGAUAAUAUAUUGAACCGCAUGGUUCAAUAGUGAAAGACGGUUUUGCUGUCACUUCUAGAUGGAUCCGCGCCGCAUUAGCUAGUUGGUAAGGUAACGGCUUACCACGGCAACGAUGCGUAGCCGACCUGAGAGGAUGAUCAGCCACACUGGUACUGAGACACGGUCCAGACUCCUACGUGAGGCAGCAGUAGGGAAUCUUCCGCAAUGGGCGAAAGCCUGACGGAGCAACGCCGCGUGAGUGAUGAAGGUCUUCGAAUCGUAAAACUCUGUUAUUAGGAAAGAACAAAUGUGUAAGUAACUAUGCACGUCUUGACGGUACCUAAUCAGAAAGCCACGGCUAACUCCGUG